UCAGCCAAUCAGAAGUCGGCUCGCCGGCUAUCGCCAAGUAUGGAGCUGGAGGCGGCGCGCGCGCGGGAAGGAGUGGGAGAGACCAUUUUGGGAGGUGGGAAAUGGAUUCAAGGCUGCUAAUGGAAAACGUCUUCCAGACUGCUCUUUGAUAGCCUGGCGACUCUCGGAUUAAAAAGCAGCAGACGGAAUUCACCAAAAAAAAGA